rnacentral:rRNA from 1 species
GAUGAACGCUGGCGGCGUGCCUAAUACAUGCAAGUCGAGCGAACAGACGAGGAGCUUGCUCCUCUGACGUUAGCGGCGGACGGGUGAGUAACACGUGGAUAACCUACCUAUAAGACUGGGAUAACUUCGGGAAACCGGAGCUAAUACCGGAUAAUAUAUUGAACCGCAUGGUUCAAUAGUGAAAGACGGUUUUGCUGUCACUUAUAGAUGGAUCCGCGCCGCAUUAGCUAGUUGGUAAGGUAACGGCUUACCAAGGCAACGAUGCGUAGCCGACCUGAGAGGGGGAUCGGCCACACUGGAACUGAGACACGGUACAGACUCCUACGGGAGGCAGCAGUAGGGAAUCUUCCGCAAUGGGCGAAAGCCUGACGGAGCAACGCCGCGUGAGUGAUGAAGGUCUUCGGAUCGUAAAACUCUGUUAUUAGGGAAGAACAAAUGUGUAAGUAACUAUGCACGUCUUGACGGUACCUAAUCAGAAAGCAACGGCUAACUACGUG